CCUACGGGAGGCAGCAGUGGGGAAUAUUGGGCAAUGGGCGCAAGCCUGACCCAGCAACGCCGCGUGAAGGAAGAAGUCUCUCGGGUUGUAAACUUCUUUUAUCAGGGACGAAGCAAGUGACGGUACCUGAUGAAUAAGCCACGGCUAACUACGUGCCAGCAGCCGCUGUAAUACGUAGGUGGCAAGCGUUAUCCGGAUUUACUGGGUGUAAAGGGCGUGUAGGCGGGAAAGCAAGUCAGAUGUGAAAACCAUGGGCGCAACCUGUGGCCUGCAUUUGAAACUGUUUUUCUUGAGUACUGGAGAGGCAGACGGAAGUCCUAGUGUAGCGGUGAAAUGCGUAGAUAUUAGGAGGAACACCAGUGGCGAAGGCGGUCUGCUGGACAGCAACUGACGCUGAGGCGCGAAAGCGUGGGGAGCAAACAGGAUUAGAUACCCGAGUAGUC
rnacentral:rRNA from 1 species